ensembl:lncRNA
CUGCACCUGUGGGAGGCUGGUCAGCACUCGUGCAAAAUUGGUCCCUGCAGCCGUGGCUGGAAGAAGAGAAAGCUAAGGCUGACGGAUCUGAGCAGUGCACAAGUGUCUGAGGCACCGUAUAGUCCUUUCAGUACAAACGGGAAAAGAUUUUGAUAAAAUUCAACUAUUCAUAAUUUUAAAAAAAUUUUUUUGAGGAAGAUUAGCCCUGAGCUAACAUCUGCUGCCAAUCCUCCUCUUUUUGCUGAGGAAGACUGGCCCUGAGCUAACAUCCGAGCCCAUCUUCCUAUACUUUAUAUAUGGGACGCCUACCACAGCAUGGCUUUUGCCAAGUGAUGUAAUGUCUGUACCCAGGAUCCAAACCGGCAGACCCUGGGCCGCCGAAGCAGAACAUGCGAACUUAACCGCUGCACCACCAGCAAUCUUUAAGGACACAUACUGAAGACGGCUGCAUCCUAAGAUGGAAGGAGACUGGGUCCCUGAAUGCCUGCCUGGGGCAGAAGCCCCCACAAGCCCUCUCGGGCCGAUCCCAUUGGUCUGGGACGGGAGACAGCAAUAUACCCAGUCUGUCAAGCUACUGGAAUUUUGGAGCUUGCAGAACUUAACCUAACUUAACAACUACUAUAUUUAUAAAUAAGUGACUUAUUCAAGUCAUAAGUAUUCUUUUGUGUGUAUGUAAUAGUACACAUGCAAACAUUUUUAAGAAUGGAUGAGAGGUAAGGAAGUGAAGGUAGUGAGCACAGACCUCUUUAAAGAAGCAGUUGUAUAAGAGGGACCAGAGAAAUGGCAUAGUAGCUGAAAGUGGGUAAAGGGUGGAGGGAAGGUGUUUUUAAAGCUGGGAAACGCUAGAGCAUGUCGGAUCCUGACAGGAAUGAUGGGAGGGAGACAGAGCGAAUGAGAAAGCGGGGAAGAAGAAAACUGCAGAAGGAAGGUCCUUGCAAAGGGGAGGAUGCUGCAGAGUGGAAGUAAUCCUUAAUGAGAACUGGAGCCCUCUUAGCCCCCCUGCUAAACGCCAGGCCCUGGGCUUGGAAAUUUACAUACGAAUUGCUCCUCUGGUCUCAGAGCUCCUUGUUGGAAGAUGGAGCUGCUGUAGAGAAAGAGCCGUUUGUGGCUCUAGACAGCACACCAGUGUAUCUGCACCCCGUGGGGGGCUCUGCACGUUUAUGCUUUCUAGUUUCAGCCGCAAGCUCAGUGCAAAGAUUUCUGUGCACACAGGACACCGCUGAGGUUAAGCUGGCACAGGCCCAGGCAGGAGGCAGCCGGUUAAUGAGGGCGGUUUAUCUUCCCGUGCCCACCCACUUGCAUAUCUGGGAAAUUUGCCUAUCUCGCUGGCUGAACUCAGAGCACUAGUCUCGUUAAUCCUCUUGGCCUUCCUGAUAACCAAGGUGUUAGCUGAUAACUACAAUGUUCUCAGAUAAGAACUUAAGGUAUUAUAGGCGAGGAAGUAGGGAAAGAGGCAACCCUGGGGCAGACAGGGAAAGGAAGGGAAGGCAGUGGGAGCCGGCAGCAACUUGUGUUUGAGUUCUCAUUCUGCCCCUUAAUAACCGUGAUGAUGAAGAAGCCGCUCAGCCUCUCCGGUGAUAAAGAUGAUGAAGCUCCCACCUUGUAAGGCAAGUAACAGACCUAACACAUCUCAACUAUCACUUCCCUCUUUCUAUACCCUCCCCUGCUGACUACUUCAAAGUGUCUCCAGGAGAAGUCGUAAUACCGUGAUGCUGGCAUGCAGACCAUGAGCUGACCAUUGGAGAACAACUGUCUUCUCACUUCGUGCCACCUGGAAAAUCCACCCUUUUUUGCCUCCACUCAGUGCUGCUCUGACCUUGAGAGCAAGGUCAGGAGGGAGAAUGCUGAGAUGAAACCUUGUCACCGCUCAUUCAGUGUUCUGCACAGAGAUGCUGGGAGGCCCAGGGAUGCCCCGCGUCUCAGUUUCUCCGGAGUGAAUUGUAGUCAGAACCAUUCAGCUAGCAGUUAUCAACCACCAACUAGAUGGCAGGCCCUGGGCUGUACUUCACACGUGUUUUUUCACUUAGUUCUCGAAGCAGCCCCUAUCAGGUAAGUGUUAUUUUUAGCCUCAUUUAAAAAUAAGGAAACCGAAGCUUGGACAGUUUAGGUAAAUUAACGAAGUCACCGGCUGAGAGGUGGUGGAAUAGAACAGAGCCCACUGUGAUGCCAGAGCCUGUGUCCCUCCACUCUCCCUGUGGGAUCUCAGUGCUCUCCCAGCAGGACUGGCCACCUCCUAGGAGACCUCUGGGAAAACACAGCUUUUGUCACUCUGGAGCCUGGCACAGGAGUCUUGCUUGCAGUGAGCUCCAAGAAGCAUUAAUGUCACGGGUCCCUCUUUCAGGCUUCAUGCAAUCCCAUUCCACACUUAUCUAAUCUUGCUUAUCUCACCGUGUAGUGAUUGCCUGUCAUCUUGUCUGUAUCCCUGGGCCCUGCCCUUCAGCAAGGUCUGCUAGGCAGGGAUUGCAUCUAUCUGGGUCAUCUUUGUAUCCCCAGCCCUAAGAACAUCUGAGGCAUACAAGGGUAUUCAUCCUUCAAGACCAAGCUCAAGUGUUUCAUCCAGUAGGAAUUCUUUCCUGACGAGCCCAUCCACCAUCACUGCCAUCGUACAGUCAUCGGCACCGUCAUUACUUCCAUCUUCAUGAAAAAUCAUCACCUCCACCACUACCACAAUCACCACCAUCACCUUGAUCACCAACAUCAUCAUCACCAAGAGCACCACCAUCAUAUCAUUACUACCAUCCUUACUGCAAUUAUUACUACCAGCACCACCAUCACACUGUCACCAUCAUCAAUACCAUCAUUACCACCACCUUUAUAAACAAAGCAUUACCAACUUGACCGACAUCAUCAUUAUUACUACCAUCACUACUACUACCAUCACCUCCAUUACCAUCAUCACCAACACUAGCACUGGUACCACAACCACCGUCACCACCAUCACUUAGAGUUAGGUGUUUCUCCACUGUGCUCCCAAAGGCUUUUACAUCCAUUGUUCCUACUGUGUUAUAACCACCUACAUACAUGUUUGUCUCCCACUGAGUGGUGGCCUUCUCGAGAUCAAGGACAAGGAUUCAUUCAGUUAUGUAUCCCCUCCACCUCGCACAGCACCCAACACAAACAAAGUGCUAAAUCAAUAUCAGUUGAGGAAAUGAAUGAAUGAAAGCUACCAUAGACCAUAUGUGCUAACAAUCAUGGACGUUAUUUCACAUAAGCCUCACAAUAAUCCUAUGAGCUGGAUAUUUUCACUAUCUCUAUUCUAAUGAUGAUGAAUCUGAGGUUAAGUAACUUGCCCAAAGUCACAUGGUUAGGAAAUGGAUGAACCAGGACGUGAGCCCGCGUCUUCCGACUCCAGGGUCAUCAAGACUAAUUACAAUAUCCUGUUUCACCCCGUUUUUCCUCUCCUGUGAGAGGGGAUCGCAGAGGGACAGCGUUCACCUCAGGGAACCUCAGAAUCCUCAGAACAUGGAGAGUUGUUUGUCAUCAGCCCAGCAUCGCCUAGGACCUGACUUGCAGCUUAGCCACUCUGAGUAGGGCUGUGUCUGGACGCGACCCCCUUACGACACAUCCCCGGUUCUCAGGGGACAUUUUAAACUCUAGGUCACAGGGUGAUUGUUUGUGCUUGUUUCUAAUGAGCUUCCUAUCUUAGAAGGGAAAACAAAGACUAUCUAAUAAACACAGCUGACACUCCAGGGCUGAAAUCCCCCAAACUCUUAAGAGAGGAAAGCCAAUUGUGUGUGAGGGUGUGCAAACUCAUGCGGGGCGGGAUAACUGAAGGAAGCCCUGAAGGAGUCGGUGCAUUUCAGAGGGAUGCAUCACCUGCUUCCACGAAGCUGGGCUCCCGGCACGCCUCAGCCUUUGCCCUGACGCUGGCCUCAGUUUAGCUGCUGGAAAGCCACUUCUCCAGAACGGGAUGUAACAGUUACUGGUGACACGUUCAAAACAUCCUCUCUGCAUUCCAGGCACGGCUGAAGAGGGUGUGUACGUGAUCUGCAUCUACAAAGAACACCUGACUUAUUAAGAAAUCUCUACUCUUCGAGCCAAGAAAUGUUACCAAGGGCCCACAACGACCGGUGCAUCGGCCCUGCUUUUCUUCCUGAGCGGGACUCCUGGAAGACUGUGUCCCUUGGUGCUCUCCCCACUCAGAGAUUCCUCUGCUGCUCAGCAGGCAACAUAAGCCACACCCAACAGUAUCUUUUGUAUUUGUUAGCAUUUAUUGAGUGUUUACUGUGUGCCAUGCACGGCACCUAGUAUUUCCCCGCAUUGUCUCAACUGAUACGAUAACCGAAUCACCCAGGUAGCAUUUGCAUCCCUAUUUUAUACACAAGUAACCAAGCCUGGAGAACUGAAGAGUCCACCAGAGGUCAUAUGUCACCAAUGGUGAAACCUGGAUUUCAACCCAGGCCUUCAGACUCCAGAGACUGUGUGCUAACCCCUGGUAUACACUGCCUCCCCAAAGACUACUUACAGGGCCCUCCAAGUGCACAUGAAAGGGGACCUUCGGAGGCUUCUGUUGUUCCGAUUUGAGCAGGAAAGCAUGCACACGUUCAAUGGAAGUGCAAACUUUACAAGUAGCCCUUUUGCAUUUCGUUAAAGGUUGCUGUGCCUGUGGCAUUUCUCCUCAAUGGGCCAUAAGCUCCGAAAGGGCAGGAACUGUGUGGGGUAUUUUUUGUGUCUCUCACACCUAGCAAAGUGCCUGGCAUCCAGCAGGUGUUUUGGAAAUGUGUUUCAAAGAGGGCAGUGAGGAUAAUGAUAAUAAUGAUGCUGCAUCCUGGGCCCGGUUGACCUUUCUAGCCCGGCUUCCCACACUUCUCCUUCAGGCGGUCUAUGUACCAGCCGAGCUGACCUCUCCCAGUCCCAAAGACACACCAAGGUUUUUGCACCUGUGUGCCUUUGCCCACAAUGUGGCCUCCACCUGGAAUGUUGUCCUCUGCUCUCCCAAGCUUCCUUCAGGGCCCAUCUCAAAUACCACCUCCUCAAGGAGGCCUCUUGGGCUCUUCUCUCAGCUAGAAAUAAUCUCCCAUCUCUCUGAACUCCCUUAGCUCCUGUUAGUUCCUUCCCUUCCUCCCCCUCCUUCUUCUCAGUGUCUUAAUGUGAUGCUGAAGUGAGCUAAUGUUCUAGAAAGCUCUUUGUAAGCCAGAAGGCAAUAUCCAAACAUGAAGGCUUAUGCUCAUAGCUCAUCGACUAAGGAAUAAGAUUGUCAACGGCGUCAGGUUCAACAUUACCCCGCACAGGACCUCACACACCCAAGGCACAAGGAGCUUUUGCUGAAAGCCUGUCUGCAGGCUUCUCUCCCUCUUCCUUGGAGCCACGUUUACGCCCUUCCAAUCAGGCUGAGGUGACUUUCAUCAGACCAAAGUAAAGUCUUAUUAGGAAUGAAUUAGAAAACCAUGAGAAAGGAAAAAAUGGGACUGUCUACUGAACACCCCUGCCUAAGGAUUUUCAGGUACCACAAUGAUUCUCGACUCUAUGAUAUCUAAUGUCCCCUUUUAGUAACAAGUAGUUUGUGACUUUCCCUUUCCUAUCCUACAAUGAAAUUCAUAGAUAACGUACACGGCAGUGAUUGGCAAAUUGCUCACCACCCCCGGUUUCCCCACUUCCUCUUCCUAGGUGCACUAAACUGGAUUUCCAAGCCUCCUUUGCAGUGAGGUGUUGCCAUGCGAGUGAGUUUAAACGAUGGACUGGGAGCACCUCUUCUAGGUCUGGGCCCAAGAAAUCUCCUUCUAGCAACAUCUAGUUGUUUCCAGAUGACCUGAGAAGCCACAAUUUAAAGAUGACAGAAUUUGACUGUGUGGAUUCCAGCUGCCAAAAGGACUUCACAUAAGAGAGAAACUAACUUCUAUUGUUCAACCUACUCAGAUCUGGCAGCUUGUCUUCUAUAACCACCAGCAUUGCCCUAACUAAUACAGUAUAACCCAGUUCCAUGUAUCUAUGGCUCCCGAUGCUGAAUAGGUGCUAUACUUUAGAGACAGUAAAGAGGAUUUGAGUAGAAGAAGUCCGAGCCCAGGUUCAAGAGACUUGGCUUCCAAUCUGGGCUCUGCCAAUAAAUUGCUGAGCAAUAUGAAUCAAGUUCAUUUGCCCUCUCUGGGCCUCAGUUUCUAUGACUGUAAAAUAAAG